rnacentral:rRNA from 1 species
UACGGAGGGGGCAAGCGUUGUUCGGAAUUACUGGGCGUAGAGGGCGCGCAGGCGGCUGCUCAAGUCAGGCGUGAAAGGCCUGGGCUCAACCCGGGAAUUGCGCUUGAGACUGGGCUGGCUUGAGUGCGGGAGAGGAUGGUGGAAUUCCCAGUGUAGAGGUGAAAUUCGUAGAUAUUGGGAAGAACACCGGUGGCGAAGGCGGCCAUCUGGACCGCAACUGACGCUGAGGCGCGAAAGCCAGGGGAGCAAACGGG